ACUUGCAGGUAUAUCACACUCACAUGCAGGAAACAGUCUCUCUCAGCUAACCUGACAUUUUCACUUGUUAGAAUAUGAACCUCCAAAUUGCUUUGGGUUUCUUGUACCUUUAUCUUCUUGUUUUAAAUGCUUCCAAAGAGCUUCCAUGUGUAAACAAAUUAGAAGGGGAUUCUCAUAUCAUUACCUUGAAUCUACCUAGAAAAUAUAGAGUUUAUGAUCAUCUGAUCUGGACAUGUGAUGGCAAGAGCAUUUUCUAUCGUCAGUCAUGGGAAUAUAAAAAUUCGGACAUUUAUGUGGAUGACUGGGGCUCCCUUAAUCUGAAAAACAUUUCCAAGUCAAUGGCUUGUACAUACAGAGCUGAAUAUUAUGAGGAACAAAGACCUGAGAGACUCUGUGUUUUCUCCAGGGCUCCGGUUCCUAAGUUGGAAGUGGAUUGUUCAACAGGUGUGCCAAUCCUCUGGUGUGAGCCUGAGAGCUUUCCUGAGGACCUCAUAUUGUCCUGGGUCCACAACAACAGGGUGAUAAAGGAGAAGAGUAACCCUCUACAGCUACAGAAACAUGAGAGAAAUGAUCGCUACAAAUGUAGACUAAGUAACAGUCUCAACAAGCAAGACAGUAAUGAAGAAAUCGUGUCAUGUGGAGACUCUGAUGAGUUGAUCUGCAUGAACAAACAGAUGAUGCUGGGUAUCCUGACUGGAUUUCUGUUACUGGUUUUGACUCUGUCACUUGUGGUUGUAAUCUGCAAGAACCGUGCCCUUAAAAAGGAAACAUGGAAACAUGACAAUGAGGAGCUGAGCCUCUACUACCUCAGGAACGCCAGCACGGAUCCUCAGCAAGUGCAACAAGCUGCUCGUGAGAACCAGGGCCACAUCCGGAACCAAGAAAUGGACUUAAAUGAGUAUCAUAACUCUGACAUUUGUUUGUGACUUCAGUUUAAUUUUAGUUUCUUUUCCAUGUGCAAAAGUGGUAUAGUUUAGUUUCAGUUUUGCAGAAUGUGCAAUUGUGAAUUGUGGUGCACUCAUAGACUGUAGAAAAUAGGGUGCACCACAGUCAGAAACGAAACUACAUAAUCCCACAGCAGCUGCAAAAAUCCUUUGCAAACAAAAAAAACCUACUUUUUGAGCAUUUAAUGUUCCAACAUGCUUUAAUAUUCCACCGUUUGGGGAAUCAAGCUCAUUUUUCACCUCCCCUCUAGCAAAACAAUUGAUAUUUACCUUUUUCCCGUUCAUUCAGCUGUUCUGUAAGUCUGACUUUUAGCUCCAGCCUAGCAUAGAUCAUUGAAUCAGUUGAAUUAGCAUAUUCCCCCCCUAGUGGUCAUACUUGAAAAGCACAUUUGCUCACGUAGCAUAAUACCAGACACAGAAUUGAUUUAAAAAAAAAAAAAAAAAAAAAGUUUAAUGUAAAAAGAAAGUUUUAGUUUUAGUUGCAGUUUUGGUUGUGUAGCUGAAUGUUUCAUAUAUAAACAUAUAUUUAAUGUGCACAUCUAUAAAUAUUUUUCAAUACAGAAGUCACCUAAUAAAGUUUAGGUUUGUAGUGUGACACACACAAACUUGACACUCACACGCAGGAAACAGUCUCUCUCAGCUAACCUGACAUUUUCCCUUUGUUAGAAUAUGAACCUCCAAAUUGCUUUGGGUUUCUUGUACCUUUAUCUUCUUGUUUUAAAUGCAUCCAGGGGUGAGUGAUGAUUUGUUUAUGUGUAUAUUACUGUAAAUAUUUUUGGUUUUUUGUUCACUAAUUUAGGCUAUGUGAGGUUUAAGUCAUUUCUGAUGUUAAUAUCUUUUAAAGGCUAUAGAAUAUAAAGUGAAAUAUCCCUGUAUACCGAUUGACAGUCUAACUAAAUUACUUAACUUAAACUACAUUAAACAUUGAUACAUCAAGCCAAAUUCUCAUGUCAUUUAUAGACCAGUACUAGCUUAAUUAAUCUGUGUCAAGAUAUAGGUAUCACAGAAAUCAUUGAUAUGAAAUGCCAGAAAACAACACAAAACUGUAAACAACAAAAAAGUGUUACUGCCUAAACAUGGUCUUGGUAAUGAUCUGUAAGAAUCUGAUGCAUCCGCUUAAAUGAUGUGUCCACAUGCUGUAUUUGUACGUGAAUGAACUUGCCAGUACACGUUGGCCAUGUCCUUUUUCAAGAAUUGGACAAAAAAAUAUACAUGGACAGGAUAAAAUGAAAUCCUUGUGUAUUUUCUGUCACUAAUCUAAUGUCUUGUUCUUCUCUCAACACAGAGCAUCCAUGUGUUAACAAAUUAGAAGGGGAUUCUCAUAUCAUUAGGCCUACCUUGAAUUCACCUCAAUAUCGUUCUAAUAGUCUGACCUGGACAUGUGAUGGCAAGACAAUUUAUGAAAAGUGGAGGAAAUGGAAUUAUCCAACAGCACAUGUGGAUGCCUUUGAGGGCUCCCUUAUUCGGAUCAAUAUUUCCAAGUCAAUGGCUUGAACAUACAAAGCUGCAUAUGAUCACGAUGGUUCUAUGCAAUAUGGUUAUUAUGGGGAACCACAAUCUUAGAGAUCUGAGAGACUCUGUGUUUUCUCCAGGGCUCCGGUUCCUAAGUUGGAAGUGGAUUGUUCAACAGGUGUUGCAAUCCUCUGGUGUGAGCCUGAGAGCUUUCCUGAGGACCUCACAUUGUCCUGGGUCCACAACAACAGGGUGAUAAAGGAGAAGAGUAACCCUCUACAGCUACAGAAACAUGAGGGAAAUGAUCGCUACAAAUGUAGACUAAGUAACAGUCUCAACAAGCAAGACAGUAAUGAAGAAAUCGUGUCAUGUGGAGACUCUGAUGAGUUGAUCUGCAUGAACAAACAGAUGAUGCUGGGUAUCCUGACUGGAUUUCUGUUACUGGUUUUGACUCUGUCACUUGUGGUUGUAAUCUGCAAGAACCGUGCCCUUAAAAAGGAAACAUGGAAACAUGACAAUGAGGAGCUGAGCCUCUACUACCUCAGGAACGCCAGCACGGAUCCUCAGCAACUGCAACAAGCUGCUCGUGAGAACCAGGGCCACAUCCGGAACCAAGAAAUGGACUUAAAUGAGUAUCAUAACUCUGACAUUUGUUUGUGACUUCAGUUUAAUUUUAGUUUCUUUUCCAUGUGCAAAAGUGGUAUAGUUUAGUUUCAGUUUUGCAGAAUGUGCAAUUGUGAAUUGUGGUGCACUCAUAGACUGUAGAAAAUAGGGUGCACCACAGUCAGAAACGAAACUACAUAAUCCCACAGCAGCUGCAAAAAUCCUUUGCAAACAAAAAAACCUACUUUUUGAGCAUUUAAUGUUCCAACAUGCUUUAAAGGGAUAUUCCACCGUUUGGGGAAUCAAGCUCAUUUUUCACCUCCCCUCUAGCAAAACAAUUGAUAUUUACCUUUUUCCCGUUCAUCCAGCUGUUCUGUGAGUCUGGCAAUACAACUUUUAGCUCCAGCCUAGCAUAGAUCAUUGAAUCGGUUGAAUUAGCAUAUUCCCCCCUAGUGGUCAUACUUGAAAAGCACAUUUGCUCAUGUAGAAUAAUACCAGAGACAGAAUUGAUUUUAAAAAAAUAAAAUAAAUACAUAAAUAAAAAAGUUUAAUGUAAAAAGAAAGUUGCAGUUGCAGUUUUGGUUGUGUAGCUGAAUGUUUCAUAUAUAAACAUAUAUUUAAUGUGCACAUCUAUAAAUAUUAUUCAAUACAGAAGUCACCUAAUAAAGUUUAGGUUAGUGUGAAAUGCUCAGCUAACCUGACAUGUUCACUUUGUUAGAACAUGAACCUCCAAAUUGCUUUGGGUUUCUUGUACCUUUAUCUUCUUGUUUUAAAUGCAUCCAGAGGUGAGUAAUGAUUAUUAAUGAUAUAUUAAAUAUUUAUGGGUUUUUUGUAUUCAAUAAUUUAGGCUAUGUGAGGUAUAAGUCAUUUCUGAUGUUAAUAUAUUUUAAAGGCUAUAGAAUAUAAAGUGAAAUAUCCCUGUAUACCGAUUGACAGUCUAACUAAAUUACUUAACUUAAACUAUUAAACAUUGAUACAUCAAGCCAAAUCAUUCUCAUGUCAUUUAUAGACCAGUACUAACUUAAUUAAUCUGUGUCAAGAUACUGUUGCCUGAGGUAUCACAGAAAUCAUUGAUAUGAAAUGCCAGAAAACAACACAAAACUGUAAACAACAAAAAAGUGUUACUGCCUAAACAUGGUCUUGGUAAUGAUCUGUAAGAAUCUGAUGCAUCCGUUUAAAUGAUGUGUCCACAUGCUGUAUUUGUACCUGAAUGAACUUGCCAGUACACGGUGGCCAUGUCCUUUUUCAAGAAUUGGACAAUAAAGUAUACAUAUCAAUGAAAUGAAAUCCUUGUGUAUUUUCUGUCACUAAUCUAAUGACUUGUUCUUCUCUCAACACAGAGCAUCCAUGUGUUAACAAAUUAGAAGGGGAUUCUCAUAUCAUUAGGCCUACCUUGAAUUCACCUCAAUAUCGUUCUAAUAGUCUGACCUGGACAUGUGAUGGCAAGAACAUUUAUGAAAAGUGGAGGAAAUGGGAUUAUCCAACAGCACAUGUGGAUGCCAUUGAGGGCUCCCUUAUUCUGAUCAAUAUUUCCAAGUCAAUGGCUUGAACAUACAAAGCUGCAUAUCAUUAAGCAAUAAGCCCCGAGAGGCUGUGGGUUAUACUGUAUAAUCGAACAGCUAAGGGGCGUUGUUAGGCACAAUGGUUAUUAUGGGGAACCACAAUCUGAGAGAUCUGAGAGACUCUGUGUUUUCUAACUUCCAUGUGUAAACAAAUUGGAAGGGGAAUCCUAUGCCAUAACAUUGAAUUCACCUGGAAAAGACAGAGAUAUGCUGUCCUGGAAAUGUGAAGACAAAGUCAUUUAUAAAUGGAGAAAGGGAAAGAUUGACCCAUUGGCGAAUGUGGAUGAACAUGGCUCUCUUAUUCUGAACAAUAUUUCCAAGUCAAUGGCUUGUACGUACAAAGCUGAACAUCAUGAUAGCGAUGGGAAAGCACUUAAAAUAUAUACUGUGAAACUCUGUGUGUUCUCCAAAGCUCCAGUUCCAAAGUUGGCCGUGGAUUGUUCAACAGGUGUGCCAAUCCUCUGGUGUGAGCCUGAGAGCUUCCCUGAGGACCUCACAUUGUCUUGGGUCCACAACAACAGGGUGAUAAAGGAGAAGAGUAACCCUCUACAGCUACAGAAACAUGAGGGAAAUGAUAGCUACAAAUGUAGACUAAGUGACAGUCUCAACAAGCAAGACAGUAAUGAAGAAAUCGUAUCAUGUGGAGACUCUGGUUCAGACAGUUCAGAUGAUGAGCUGAUUUUCUUUAUUAAGCUGGCCAGUGUGGGAUUUCUCCUCCUGGUGUUCACUCUGUCGCUGGUAGUUGUCCUCUGCAAGAAUCAUCACCUACAAAAGAGGAGACAUGGUGAGCUCGUAGCCAGCUAUGAUGUCACCCAGGUCCAAACCUCAGUAAAGUUUUAAGAGAUUAAAAUGAAAUUUGAAGCUAAAUAUAUCACCUGAAAAAAAUACAUGUUGAAACUGUCCCCGUAUCAAGUGCAUUCUUAAUUUAGUUUUUAAUGUGUGGCCGGAAUUACUGUCAAGAGUAUUUAACAUUACAGCUGCAUUGGAACUACUGUUCAACGUUUCCAGCCCUGGAAAUGGAUUAACUAGAAGUGACCUAAAUAAACCACUGAAGUAAAA